ensembl:lncRNA
CUGGAAGCAACAGUCUCACAACAGUACAUUUGAUAUAGAGCCUUACUGCACAGACGCAGUAUAUGUCAUAAUUAUAAUAUCUUCGUAAGUUAUCUCUGCACAGGAGGUUUGUGACAGCAUGCAUCAAAUUAACUACUUCUAGGCUUGCAGCUCUUUUUGGCAGCUCUGUAAUGUUUAGAGGAUAUGUGUUUUAUUGUUAUUAUUGCUAUUAAAAUUGUAGUGAUUUGAAACAAAAUCCAUCUAAAAUCUAGAUGAUAGGUUAAUGUAAAACAUGAUUUCUAGUGGUGAAGUAGUUUUAGGUUUAACUGAGAUAUUAUGGUUUUAGCCCUAUUCCAGGGACACCUAGGUAGGCUUAAUAAUUCAUAAUCAAAAAUGCAAGGAAUUCAUUUUGAUAGUGAAGUUCACUACAUUGAGCUGAGCACAUUGAUUUUUAUCUAAAGAUACUGAAUAUUAGAGAGGCGGAAUGCAAACUUGGAAUAAUAAUUUUAAAAGAGUGCUUACGGAAAAAUUCAUAGAGUUUUUGAAUGGAAUUCCUGGUGUCUUCCACUGCCAGAAAGCUCUAGGUUCAACUCUGAACAGUCGCAGAAUCACAGAAUCAUUAGGGUUGGAAGGGUCAUGUAGGGAUCAUUGAGGCCCUUCUGAUAUAUUUUUUUUCCCUGACCUGUGGUGUUUUUUUGUUUUUUGGUUUUUUUUUUUUUAAAGGUUUUUUUUUUCAAAUUUGAUAUUCUUACCUUACAUACUAGUCACCAGGCAAUUAAAAUAAGACACAAGUUAUUAAAAACAUUUCCAGUUGCACAUGCUCUACUUUUCGUGGAAUAAUUAAAAAUUCACUGUCUGAUCAAGAGAGAGAAUAAAUGUCAGUCUAUAAUCCCGUGGCACAUGAGUUGAAUCUAGCUUCCAAACUCAUUUUCUAUGCUGAUUGGUUUAAAUGGCUGUGGGCUUUUGAAAAUGCUAUUGAGUAUUGCCUAAUGUUUUAGGCAGCUCACUAAACAUUAAAUUCUGACUUAAGAUCUCAGUUUAUCUAAAACAAGAGCCAUGAUUCAAACAUAAAAAAACAACCAAAAAAAAAACAAAACAGAUGAAUUCAUAAAUAGGUGAAUUCACUAUCAAAUAACUUUAGGAUAAAUUCUAACCACUGUAUGAUUUUUUUUUUUAGAUUAAUAUUUUAAGAAACAGUUUGUUUUCUAGAAAUACUAAAAUUUUAUAUUCUACCAAUAUGAGAUAUAUAAGAAACCAAUAUAAAUAAGUGUGUGUGUGUUUGUAUGUAUGUGUGUUUGCUGUUUUUUUUGUUUUGUUUUGUUUUUUCAACCUUACUUACACCAACACUUUUGGCUGAAGUCAGAUUUCUUACAGGAAUAAGCAUGUUGAGUGUAACUCAGGGAGUUAUGUAUUACUCUCAUCUUUAACAGAUUAAGAGAAGAAUUUAAAACAUUAAUUAGACAGCUUAGAGGAAAUAAACGAUAAAACUAUACAUGCUCAUAUUUUUUACUGCUAAUUACAUGUUAAAAUGUUAUAUCUUAAUGUCAACCCAAUCUGUAAUGUAGAGGGAAUUUUAAUGUAAAAGAUGUACAUGAUUUUUCAUAGCACCAAACACAUCUUAGAAUAUAGAUUAAAAGCACUUGCUAAGCAGUAAGGAAAAUGUGUCAUACUGCAUUGGCUGUAGAAAGAAAUUUCUACCAUGCAAGAGUGGACUGACAAGAAUAAAAUGAUAUGGCAGACAGAAAGAAUCACAGCUGUCUUGAACUUUCAAAUUAACUCCUUUACAGCAGAAUGGUUUCCAUGACACAUAAUUGUCACUCUGUAUAUAUAUGUAUUUUCUGCUUUUCUCUCUCUUCUUUUUUUUUUUCUUUUCAAUUUCUUUGUUCAAUUUAAUUAUUAAACAAAACAGGUUUUUGACCCUUUAUUAAUACAAAACCCACCUCUGAAAAGUCCAGAGCAAUCUAUAUCUGACAGAAAUUAAGAAUGUUCAGAUCUGUACAGAGAGAGGGAGUGCAUUACAGUAGAACUGGACAAAAUCUAUUUUCUUGCAUUUUCUUCAUAUUGAAAAUAUAGUGAAAGAUAAUUUAAGGAAGACAAUUCAACUUUUACUACUGUGAAAGUGUACUACAUUUAAACAUAGAAUAAUAGAGUGAUGAAUCAGACCUUGCAGUGUUAGAAGCAGAACUAGUGCAGAAGGUCAGUGACUCUUUGUCUCGCUCCAAUUUAUAGGAGGGAGAGGAGGUUCUUUGAAAU